GUCCUGGCCCGCCCGAGCCCCACGGUCCCUCGUGUCCUAACCUCGGCGGGCAGGCACCUCCUCAGGAAGCCCCGGAGCAGGCUGUCGUUGUACAGGUGGCCCAGGCUGGCGGCCCCCGACAGAAGUUCGCGUCAGGUUGGACUUGUUGAAAUAAUCCUGAUACAUUCCUACAAUGGCCACUGCUCAGCUUUCUCACUGCAUCACAAUACACAAGGCAUCUAAGGAAACAGUUUUCCCAUCCCAAAUCACUAAUGAGCAUGAGUCACUGAAAAUGGUGAAGAAACUUUUUGCUACUUCCAUCUCAUGUAUAACAUACCUAAGGGGUCUGUUUCCAGAGAGCUCUUACGGAGAACGCCAUUUGGAUGACCUCAGUUUAAAAAUCCUCCGAGAAGAUAAAAAAUGUCCUGGGUCACUGCAUAUUAUCAGAUGGAUUCAAGGUUGUUUUGAUGCUUUGGAAAAGAGAUACCUACGUAUGGCAGUAUUGACACUUUACACAAAUCCCAUGGGAUCUGAGAAAGUGACUGAGAUGUACCAGUUCAAGUUCAAAUACACGAAAGAAGGAGCCACUAUGGAUUUUGACAGUCGUAGCAGCAGUACAAGCUUUGAAACUGGAACAAACAAUGAAGAUAUUAAGAAAGCCAGUGUUCUACUGAUCCGUAAAUUGUAUAUACUGAUGCAGGACCUUGAGCCACUUCCUAAUAAUGUUGUACUUACUAUGAAACUCCACUACUAUAAUGCAGUGACCCCACAUGAUUACCAACCCCUCGGUUUUAAAGAAGGGGUAAAUUCACACUACCUGCUGUUUGACAAGGAGCCUAUCAACGUGCAAGUGGGAUUUGUCUCCACUGGCUUUCAUAGCAUGAAAGUAAAAGUCAUGACAGAGGCUACAAAAGUGAUUGAUUUGGAGAACAGUCUGUUUCAGGAGAACAGCACUACUGAGAUCGCCCAUCAAGGUCUAGACUGUGAUGAGGAAGAAGACUGCAAUGACCAUGUAAGGCAAAGCUUUAGUGAUUUUCUAUCGUGUCAGUUAAACACAAUUGAUAUUUUUCAGUUUCUACCCAGGGCAUGCACGUGGAGUGUGCCAGCUAUAAAAGCUGAAACAAAACUAGUCUCUGACAUCAAGGAGUUUUUAAUCUAAAAAAGUUUAAUCUUCUAAAAGGAAAUAUACUUUAUCAGAUGAAAUUGUCCAUAACUAGGAGGAAAAAGAUUUUCUAAUAUAUUUAUUUUAUUAAAGAUAUCAUACAUUUAGAAAAUUUGAGGUUUUCUUUCCUUUAUUUGUAAAUAACAUGUUUUUAGGAUUGAAAAAUAUUCUAGGUAUUUAUUCAUACUCAUUGGAAGUAUAAAUCAGUUCUUGAUACUGAGAUAAUUAGAUGGGAGGAGUUGGGGAAGAUAAAUUUUAUGGAUAAACCCGAGUCAGAGUGAAAACAAAUAAUAGUCAACUUCUGGUUAUGUGGAGGAAGACAAGCUUUGGGGCUAACUCACUGGGGAAAGUCAGGGGGUUGGUGGGGUUGGAGCCGGUGGAGCCAAACAGGUCUCUGAUCCCUUUAUCCUCCUAUUUCCACCAAUAGAGACUUGGAGUUAGAUUCUUGCUAGGGUCCCAUUAUGCCCUAGGUAACUCCACACCCUUAACUGUUGUCUGGGUAAUAAUGUUAACUGUAUGACAACAUUGUGUUAAAAGGGUUCUGAGUUAGACAAAAAAUUUUCAGUAGGAAGGGAUGCUAUAAGAUCUUUUCAGAAGAUAUUUUAAGAUUAGAAUGAUAACUUGUUUGCUUAAGAUAAUUUGAGUCAUAUUUAAAGAUAGAUGACUGUACUAGGUAACUUCUGAAGGUUCCUUCUAGUUCUUUAACUCUGUAUUAUGUUUAAUACAUUGAAAAGAGGUUCUAGUUGUUCUAAUUUUAACUCAAUUAAUGUAAAUAAUACAACCAAACAAGCAACAGAUUGUUUUUAAAUUUUUAGUGCUUUCUCAAUGUUAGACAUAAAAAUCACUUUGGAUUUUGGUGCAAUUUUCCUCUUCCAAUUUCACUCAAGGAACAUAUAGCUAACAUAGAAAGGGUAAAAAAAAAUGAAGGUUAAGAAAAGAAUGUUUCAGCUAGUUUUUUUCUUUUGUUCUUAUUGUUUUUGAGACAGGGUCUCGCACUGUUGCCCAGGCUGAAGUACAGUGGUGCAACCAUGGCUCACUGGUGCCUCAACUCAACAAGGAAUCCUCCUACCUCAGCCUCUCGGGUAGCUGGGACUAUAGGCACAUGCCACCACACCUGGCUAAUUUUUUAUUUUUUGUAGAGACAAGGGUCUCACUGUUACCAGGGCUGGUCUCAAACUCCUGGGCUCAAGUGAUGCUUUCACUUUGACCUCCCAAAGUGCUGGGAUUACAGGUAUGAGACACCACACUGGGCCUCAGCUAGGUAUUUAUUUAUUUAGGGAAAGAGUCUCGCUCUGUUGUCCAGGCUUGAGUGCUGGAGUGCAGUAGUUCAUCACAGCUCACUGUAGCCUUGACCUUCUGGGCCCAAGUGAUCCUUUCAGCUUAGCCUCCAGCGUAGCUGAAACCAUAGGUGUGUGCCACCACACCCAGCUAAUUUUUAAUUUUUUGUGGAGACAGGGUCUCCCUAUGUUGUCCAGAUUGAUCUUGAACUCCUGGGCUCCAGUGAUCCUCCUGCCUUGGCCUUUCAAAGUGCUAGGAUUACACCGCACCUGGUUAGAUUUUUACCUUUUAAUUAAGAAUUUCUUUCUUUUUUUAAUCAAACGAAAGCAGGACAACCUAAGAACGCAUAGUUCAACUGAUUAAAUAACAAAUGUGAUAAUCCUUUACAAGCAUACAUUUAGUUGAAACUACAUGUAUUAUAUGGACUUUGUGGUAAACUUAGUUGAUUGAAGUUCCUCUCUCAGCCAGACAAACAUAUGAGAGAAUUUAGUAAGUCUAGUGAAGUGGUUACUGUCACUUUCCCACUAAGGAUUCCUUUUUGUUUUCCUUCAUGGAAUACAUGGAACAGACACACACACACACACACACACACAUACAUGUGUAUGCAUAUGUAGAAUCUUUAUUUCUUUUAAAAAUUUUAUUUUGAGAUAUAUCAUACAUAUAAUAGACUACAUAAAAAUAAUAUGUGCAGUUUAAAGAAUAAUGAGAACAUCCAUAUGUCCUCCGUUUAGGCUAAGAUGUAGAACAUUGCUACUCCCUUAGAAGCCACCAUGUGUCCCUUCCUCAUUGCACGCCCCCUGAAGGGUCUCACUCUGUCACCCAGGCUGGAGUGCACUGACGCGAUCUCGGCUCACUGCAAUCUCUGCCUCCUCGGAUCAAGCCAUUCUUCCACCUCAGCCACCCAAGUAACCGGGACUACAGGCCUGAAUAGAACAAAAAGACUGGCCUCCCUGAGCAGGAGGGAAUACUUCAGCAGAUUGCCUCAGACUUCAUCUGCACCAUUGACUCUCCUGGAACUGAAGGCCAACUCGCCUGUUGGCCUUCAGACUGGAACUGCAUCAUCAACUUUCCUGGGUCUCAUGCCUGCUGGGUCACACUAUUCAAAGAAUGAAUUUUGUGUGCAGUCAGCAAAGUUCUGAGUGCUCCAGGAAGAAGAGGAAGGUCAGUGAACCAGUGAAGGUCUUCAUCCCUAACAGAAAAUGAAAGCUAAAUACUCCUUC